rnacentral:piRNA from 1 species
UGGAACAUGGUAUUUGAGGAAUCCUAAGUC